GGGUUGUGAGGUUAAGCGACUAAGCGUACACGGUGGAUGCCCUGGCAGUCAGAGGCGAUGAAGGACGUGCUAAUCUGCGAUAAGCGUCGGUAAGGUGAUAUGAACCGUUAUAACCGGCGAUUUCCGAAUGGGGAAACCCAGUGUGUUUCGACACACUAUCAUUAACUGAAUCCAUAGGUUAAUGAGGCGAACCGGGGGAACUGAAACAUCUAAGUACCCCGAGGAAAAGAAAUCAACCGAGAUUCCCCCAGUAGCGGCGAGCGAACGGGGAGGAGCCCAGAGCCUGAAUCAGUGUGUGUGUUAGUGGAAGCGUCUGGAAAGGCGCGCGAUACAGGGUGACAGCCCCGUACACAAAAAUGCACAUAUUGUGAGCUCGAUGAGUAGGGCGGGACACGUGGUAUCCUGUCUGAAUAUGGGGGGACCAUCCUCCAAGGCUAAAUACUCCUGACUGACCGAUAGUGAACCAGUACCGUGAGGGAAAGGCGAAAAGAACCCCGGCGAGGGGAGUGAAAAAGAACCUGAAACCGUGUACGUACAAGCAGUGGGAGCACAGAGCAAUCUGUGUGACUGCGUACCUUUUGUAUAAUGGGUCAGCGACUUAUAUUCUGUAGCAAGGUUAACCGAAUAGGGGAGCCGAAGGGAAACCGAGUCUUAACUGGGCGUUAAGUUGCAGGGUAUAGACCCGAAACCCGGUGAUCUAGCCAUGGGCAGGUUGAAGGUUGGGUAACACUAACUGGAGGACCGAACCGACUAAUGUUGAAAAAUUAGCGGAUGACUUGUGGCUGGGGGUGAAAGGCCAAUCAAACCGGGAGAUAGCUGGUUCUCCCCGAAAGCUAUUUAGGUAGCGCCUCGUGAAUUCAUCUCCGGGGGUAGAGCACUGUUUCGGCAAGGGGGUCAUCCCGACUUACCAACCCGAUGCAAACUGCGAAUACCGGAGAAUGUUAUCACGGGAGACACACGGCGGGUGCUAACGUCCGUCGUGAAGAGGGAAACAACCCAGACCGCCAGCUAAGGUCCCAAAGUCAUGGUUAAGUGGGAAACGAUGUGGGAAGGCCCAGACAGCCAGGAUGUUGGCUUAGAAGCAGCCAUCAUUUAAAGAAAGCGUAAUAGCUCACUGGUCGAGUCGGCCUGCGCGGAAGAUGUAACGGGGCUAAACCAUGCACCGAAGCUGCGGCAGCGACGCUUAUGCGUUGUUGGGUAGGGGAGCGUUCUGUAAGCCUGUGAAGGUGUGCUGUGAGGCAUGCUGGAGGUAUCAGAAGUGCGAAUGCUGACAUAAGUAACGAUAAAGCGGGUGAAAAGCCCGCUCGCCGGAAGACCAAGGGUUCCUGUCCAACGUUAAUCGGGGCAGGGUGAGUCGACCCCUAAGGCGAGGCCGAAAGGCGUAGUCGAUGGGAAACAGGUUAAUAUUCCUGUACUUGGUGUUACUGCGAAGGGGGGACGGAGAAGGCUAUGUUGGCCGGGCGACGGUUGUCCCGGUUUAAGCGUGUAGGCUGGUUUUCCAGGCAAAUCCGGAAAAUCAAGGCUGAGGCGUGAUGACGAGGCACUACGGUGCUGAAGCAACAAAUGCCCUGCUUCCAGGAAAAGCCUCUAAGCAUCAGGUAACAUCAAAUCGUACCCCAAACCGACACAGGUGGUCAGGUAGAGAAUACCAAGGCGCUUGAGAGAACUCGGGUGAAGGAACUAGGCAAAAUGGUGCCGUAACUUCGGGAGAAGGCACGCUGAUAUGUAGGUGAAGUCCCUCGCGGAUGGAGCUGAAAUCAGUCGAAGAUACCAGCUGGCUGCAACUGUUUAUUAAAAACACAGCACUGUGCAAACACGAAAGUGGACGUAUACGGUGUGACGCCUGCCCGGUGCCGGAAGGUUAAUUGAUGGGGUUAGCGGUAACGCGAAGCUCUUGAUCGAAGCCCCGGUAAACGGCGGCCGUAACUAUAACGGUCCUAAGGUAGCGAAAUUCCUUGUCGGGUAAGUUCCGACCUGCACGAAUGGCGUAAUGAUGGCCAGGCUGUCUCCACCCGAGACUCAGUGAAAUUGAACUCGCUGUGAAGAUGCAGUGUACCCGCGGCAAGACGGAAAGACCCCGUGAACCUUUACUAUAGCUUGACACUGAACAUUGAGCCUUGAUGUGUAGGAUAGGUGGGAGGCUUUGAAGUGUGGACGCCAGUCUGCAUGGAGCCGGCCUUGAAAUACCACCCUUUAAUGUUUGAUGUUCUAACGUGGACCCGUGAUCCGGGUUGCGGACAGUGUCUGGUGGGUAGUUUGACUGGGGCGGUCUCCUCCUAAAGAGUAACGGAGGAGCACGAAGGUUGGCUAAUCCUGGUCGGACAUCAGGAGGUUAGUGCAAUGGCAUAAGCCAGCUUGACUGCGAGCGUGACGGCGCGAGCAGGUGCGAAAGCAGGUCAUAGUGAUCCGGUGGUUCUGAAUGGAAGGGCCAUCGCUCAACGGAUAAAAGGUACUCCGGGGAUAACAGGCUGAUACCGCCCAAGAGUUCAUAUCGACGGCGGUGUUUGGCACCUCGAUGUCGGCUCAUCACAUCCUGGGGCUGAAGUAGGUCCCAAGGGUAUGGCUGUUCGCCAUUUAAAGUGGUACGCGAGCUGGGUUUAGAACGUCGUGAGACAGUUCGGUCCCUAUCUGCCGUGGGCGCUGGAGAACUGAGGGGGGCUGCUCCUAGUACGAGAGGACCGGAGUGGACGCAUCACUGGUGUUCGGGUUGUCAUGCCAAUGGCACUGCCCGGUAGCUAAAUGCGGAAGAGAUAAGUGCUGAAAGCAUCUAAGCACGAAACUUGCCCCGAGAUGAGUUCUCCCUGACUCCUUGAGAGUCCUGAAGGAACGUUGAAGACGACGACGUUGAUAGGCCGGGUGUGUAAGCGCAGCGAUGCGUUGAGCUAACCGGUACUAAUGAACCGUGAGGCUUAACCUUACAACGCCGAAG
rnacentral:rRNA from 1 species